rnacentral:tRNA from 1 species
GGAGACGUCGCAUAGUUCGGCCUAGUGCACCACCCUGCUAAGGUGGAGACCUCGCAAGGGGUCCGAGGGUUCAAAUCCCUCCGUCUCCG